GAUUAGAGUUUGAUCCUGGCUCAGAUUGAACGCUGGCGGCAUGCCUUACACAUGCAAGUCGAACGGUAACAGGGAGCUUGCUCCGCUGACGAGUGGCGAACGGGUGAGUAAUGUGUCGGAACGUACCUUUCAGUGGGGGAUAACGUAGCGAAAGUUACGCUAAUACCGCAUAUUCUGUGAGCAGGAAAGCAGGGGAUCGCAAGACCUUGCGCUGAUUGAGCGGCCGAUAUCAGAUUAGCUAGUUGGUGAGGUAAAGGCUCACCAAGGCGACGAUCUGUAGCGAGUCUGAGAGGAUGAUCCGCCACACUGGAACUGAGACACGGUCCAGACUCCUACGGGAGGCAGCAGUGGGGAAUUUUGGACAAUGGGGGCAACCCUGAUCCAGCCAUGCCGCGUGAGUGAAGAAGGCCUUCGGGUUGUAAAGCUCUUUCGGCCGGGAAGAAAUCGCAUAGGCUAAUACCCUGUGUGGAUGACGGUACCGGAAUAAGAAGCA
rnacentral:rRNA from 1 species